GCAAGCUCUCGCUUACGUUCUAGUUUGGCCUCUGAAUGAUCAAGUACAAGAAAAUGAAGUAAAAGAGAACGGAACAAACUGAAGAAGAAAAACGUUGGCGGUUGGGGGUUCCGAACCUAGGAACCCACGUUCAGAAGCCGAAGAAAUGCACAGCAAAAUUCAGUAAGCACAAGGACAAGGAGGAACGAGGAGGAGUAAGGACAAAGGAGAAGGAGAAGUUAUUUACGACAAGCAGUGCCAAGUUCUUGAAUACCAAGGAGCGUAUAUGGACCUAUGAGACGAACGGACCCACCAAUGUGGAAUGUGAAGUGGAAGUCAUACACACGAUUACACCAAAACAAAUAUUUUUUAUGAAAGCUUACCUUGAAAAUGGGAAGAAGAUUACUAGCAAGCUGUUGGGAAAAUUUGACCUGCAUCGGCUGAAGCACUUGGACGUCUAUUCUCUAGGUGGUGAGAUGAGGUUUUCCGAGGACAUCAUUUAUAUGAGCUCGACAUCCAGCUGCGCAGUUAUCAGAGUAACAAAGAAUGGUGGCAAACACCCCACUUUCGACCUUCGAGUUCGGAAUUCCUCAACUAAAGAAGGCCCUGAGAAGAAAUGCUUGAACCACUUCCUUAUGCAUGUAAAGCGAGCCCAAGUGAUCUACCGUCCGCCGUGUCAACAUAUAUUUGAUUACAGUGGGCAGUCCUCAUUGUUGGUUAUAGGUGGCAGCAAAAAUUAGUAAAAAAAUUCACCAAAAUAACUGUAUAAACGAAGUGUAUGCGGAAAGGAAAAACAGCAAACAGAACGAGAAGGGGCAGAAAAAGAUAUCAGCACUAUAGUAGAAUAUAACCCGUCGACCAAUCAUAAUUAUAUGCUACCUCACGAGUAUUUGUGCAGCAUAGAUUAGGUUACUUUUGUGGAUAUGUAAGAUUUUUAUAACAUGAAGCCCUUGCAGUUCUAGAUGUGUUGUUAUUCUUUAGUGACCUAAGCUAGGUAGUGCGUUAGUGUUAUAUUUAUUCGUACCUAUUCUAUGAUUUCAAUGCUUCUAUUGUUAAAAUGUAACUUGAAAAUGGUAUUUAGAUAUGCAAAUUGGCGUGUUUGGAGAAAAGAAAAUAGAAGCUUUCAAAUUAUGAAAUUUACCAACCAUUGCAAAAUCUUUUGGGAACUGCAAGCGCCUGCAAUAUACGUUUCUGGAUAUGCCAACGCACUUGCUACCACAUAUUUCCUCUUAACAAGAUGUAGUGCUAUGUAAAUGUAUGUAUGUAUGUAGUGCUAUGCGAUGAGCUUUGGGAAGCACUUAACAAGAAAAACGUUCUUUCCCUGUCUCCCACACUAGUUCUCCAGUUCGUUCGUUUGCGCUAUUGGCUUAAAUUGACAAUUGUGUUUUGUGGUUUCUGUUCAGUUUUGGUUCAACAACGUUUAUGGUUCCUCUUUUUUUCUACCAAACGCCUCUACAUUUCAGCAACAAUGCCAAUUUCCAGCUGGUACUGAAAUUAUGCCUCCGAAAACGGGGAUAAAUUGGUUGCGAUAAUGCUUGCUCACGCUCAAGUUCUGAUGAAUCACAACAAAAGGCAUUUAUUCAUUCAUUCAGGCACAGUGGCUACGUGCUCGUUGUUGGUAAACGCGCUAAUUUAUUUGGUA